GUAUAACUUAGUGGCAGACGGGUGAGUAAUGUAUAGGAAUCUACCUAGUAGUACGGAAUAAUUGUUGGAAACGGCAACUAAUACCGUAUACGCCCUACGGGGGAAAAAUUUAUUGCUAUUAGAUGAGCCUAUAUUAGAUUAGUUAGUUGGUGAGGUAAAGGCUUACCAAGACAAUGAUCUAUAGCUGAUCUGAGAGGAUGAUCAGCCACACUGGAACUGAGAUACGGUCCAGACUCCUACGGGAGGCAGCAGUGGGGAAUAUUGGACAAUGGGCGAAAGCCUGAUCCAGCCAUGCCGCAUGAGUGAAGAAGGCCUUCGGGUUGUAAAGCUCUUUUAGUGAGGAAGAUAAUGACGGUACUCACAGAAGAAGUCCUGGCUAACUCCGUGCCAGCAGCCGCGGUAAUACGGAGAGGGCUAGCGUUAUUCGGAAUCAUUGGGCGUAAAGGGCGCGUAGGCGGGUUAGUAAGUUAAAAGUGAAAUCCCAAGGCUCAACCCUGGAACCGCUUUUAAAACUGCUAGUCUAGAGAUUGAAAGAGGAUAGAGGAAUUCCUAGUGUAGAGGUGAAAUUCGUAAAUAUUAGGAGGAAUACCAGUGGCGAAGGCGUCUAUCUGGUUCAAAUCUGACGCUGAGGCGCGAAGGCGUGGGGAGCAAACAGGAUUAGAUACCCUGGUAGUCCACGCUGUAAACGAUGAAUGUUAAAUAUGNGAAGUUUACUUUCUGUAUUAUAGCUAACGCGUUAAACAUUCCGCCUGGGGACUACGGUCGCAAGAUUAAAACUCAAAGGAAUUGACGGGGACCCGCACAAGCGGUGGAGCAUGUGGUUUAAUUCGAUGCAACGCGAAAAACCUUACCACUCCUUGACA
rnacentral:rRNA from 1 species